GACAGAGGGUGCGAACGUUGCUCGGAAUCACUGGGCGUAAAGCGCGCGUAGGCGGACCGGAAAGUCGGUUGUGAAAUCCCUGGGCUCAACCCAGGAACUGCAUCCGAAACUCCCGGUCUCGAGUGACGGAGAGGAUAGUGGAAUUCCCGGUGUAGAGGUGAAAUUCGUAGAUAUCGGGAGGAACACCAGUGGCGAAGGCGGCUAUCUGGACGUCCACUGACGCUGAGGCGCGAAAGCGUGGGGAGCAAACAGGAUUAGAAACCCCAGUAGUCC
rnacentral:rRNA from 1 species